GCAGCACCUGCGAGGGAAGGGGAAAAAAGAAAACGUCGUCCUUGCUUUGCCUGUGGGUGCUUAUGUGAUGGAUGCACAGACGUGCAGGUCCUGGGCUGCAGCCCACGGGUGGCUGUGUGGACCAGAACCACUUCCCUGCUCUGCACGCAGUUCUUUGCGUGGCACGAUAAGCACGGGUUGCAAGUGUCCAUCUACUCGAGACCUGUCCCAACAGGAUCUCAGCCACUGCUUGAUGAUUCACUGAAUUAAAGAGCAAAGUGUUCUGACAUUUCUGUUGAACAGAAAUAAAUGUUGUGGAAUAAAA